rnacentral:rRNA from 1 species
AUACGGAGGGUGCAAGCGUUAUUCGGAAUCACUGGGCGUAAAGGACGCGUAGGCGGGUUGGCAAGUCAGAUGUGAAAUCCUACAGCUUAACUGUAGAACUGCAUUUGAAACUGCUAACCUAGAGUAUGGGAGCGGGAGAUGGAAUUAGUGGUGUAGGGGUAAAAUCCGUAGAUAUCUCUAGGAAUACCGAAAGCGAAGGCGAUCUCCUGGAACAUAACUGACGCUAAGGCGUGAAAGCGUGGGGAGCAAACAGGAUUAGAUACCCUAGUAGUCC